CUAGGCGUUCCGCAGAUGACUAUACGGGCUUGUUUUGGAAACAAGUGUUCGCAGGUUUAAAUCCUGCCGCCUAGACCA
rnacentral:tRNA from 1 species